GUGCUUGGUUUAGCAGCACGUAUACCAAAAUUGGAACGAUACAGAGAAGAUUAGCAUGGCCCCUGCACAAGGCUGACAUGCAAAUUCAUGAAGCACUCCACAUUUUU